rnacentral:lncRNA from 1 species
GCUUCUGGGAACACAUCAUCCUAAGUGAACUAGCAUAGCUGAAUUGUUUGGAGGAAAUUUCGCAACAGAAAAUUUUCAGAGUAACAGCAAUCCUGGCACUGUGAAGGGUCAACA